UGGUCACACAGGGGAGGCGCCGAUGGAAGUUGAAACUGAGAAGAGGGAAAGGGAGAUUGGAGCUAUCGGGAGUUGUAGGAAUGGGAUAUUUGGGAUGAACGAAAGUGAAAUAAAAUUCUUAGAUUUACAACAUUAAUUCUUCCCAAAAUCACCCAAUCCUGUGAUUUCCGGCUGUUCCUCCCUUUCCCUUCCAUCUCUACACAUUUUACCCGAUCUGGGUUCUCUUCUCCUGCCUUGAUUUGUUUCCAGGAGGAGGAGCUAUGAUAGCUUGCAAGUUAGCAGCAAUGGUACUUGAAACUUGAAAGAGUUCUCUCAUUAGCUUUACUUAACGUAACAGGUGGAGGUUUUGAGUGUUUUCCAAAGAAAUUGAAGUUGUUGUAAAGUCCUACCAUCAGUAUUUCAUGGGAAAGCAGACAUUAAUCAUCCUUGUCCUGGAUUGAGGAACACCAAAAUCAUAACAUAGCGUAAUUUUUAUCUCUUGGACUAAUACAAAUUUCAGCAGAAAGUGGUACGACUGUAUAAACUACAAGGUAAUUUUUCAAAUUAAUUUUGCGUCUGUUAUUUUUUGUUUGGUAGUUUAUGAUAUUUCAGACUAUGUUUUUCAUGUAGAAAGUUGGUGAUUGUGACUUCUUUGGACAGGCUGAUAAUUGAAACAAAAUUUAAGGAGAAUAUGAAUCAAACUAAUCAAUUUCAGCUCAAGUUAGAAAAUCGAGAAAAUAUGUAUCAGGUUGCCUUAGUUUUUAUCAUUUUGAUUUUAUUAUUUUAUGUCAAUGGUUAUAUUGGAUUUAGUGGUAGCGGCAAGUUGAUGUUAAAAUGAAUUUGUAGUAUUUGUGUAUUUGAAUCUCAUUGGGAAAAUGAUAAUGUUGAAACAAAGUC